rnacentral:rRNA from 1 species
GCGCAUACAAAGAGAAGCGACCUCGCGAGAGCAAGCGGACCUCAUAAAGUGCGUCGUAGUCCGGAUUGGAGUCUGCAACUCGACUCCAUGAAGUCGGAAUCGCUAGUAAUCGUGGAUCAGAAUGCCACGGUGAAUACGUUCCCGGGCCUUGUACACACCGCCCGUCACACCAUGGGAGUGGGUUGCAAAAGAAGUAGGUAGCUUAACCUUCGGGAGGGCGCUUACCACUUUGUGAUUCAUGACUGGGGUGAAGUCGUAACAAGGUAACCGUAGGGGAACCUGCGGUUGGAUCAC